rnacentral:rRNA from 1 species
AUUGAACGCUGGCGGCAGGCUUAACACAUGCAAGUCGAACGAGCGGCGGACGGGUGAGUAAUGUUUGGGAAACUUCCUGAUGGAGGGGGAUAACUACUGGAAACGGUAGCUAAUACCGCAUACCAUCAGAUGUGCCCAUAUGGGAUUAGCUAGUUGGUAAGGUAACGGCUUACCUAGGCGACGAUCCCUAGCUGGUCUGAGAGGAUGAUCAGCCACACUGAGACUGAGACACGGCCCAGACUCCUACGGGAGGCAGCAGUGGGGAAUAUUGCACAAUGGGCGCAAACCUGAGGCAGCCAUGCCGCGUGGAUGAAGAAGGCCUUCGGGUUGUAAAGUACUUUCGGUCGGGAGGCGUUACCGACAGAAGAAGCACCGGCUAACUCCGUGCCAGCAGCCGCGGUAAUUC